rnacentral:rRNA from 1 species
AUUGAACGCUGGCGGCAGGCCUAACACAUGCAAGUCGAGCGAGCGGCGGACGGGUGAGUAAUGUCUGGGAAACUGCCUGAUGGAGGGGGAUAACUACUGGAAACGGUAGCUAAUACCGCAUACCAUCAGAUGUGCCCAGAUGGGAUGAGCUAGUAGGUGGGGUGAUGGGUCACCUAGGCGACGAUCCCUAGCUGGUCUGAGAGGAUGACCAGCCACACUGGACCUGAGGCACGGUCCAGACGCCUACGGGAGGUAGCAGUGGGGAAUAUUGCACAAUGUGCGCAAGCCUGAUGCAGCCAGGCCGCGUGUGUGAAGAAGGCCUUCGGGUUGUAAAGCACUUUCAGCUGGGAGGCGUUACCCGCAGAAGAAGCACCGGCUAACUCCGUGCCAGCAGCCGCGGUAAUAC